rnacentral:tRNA from 1 species
GCCCUCUUAGUGCAGUUGGCAGUGUCAGUCUUGUAAUCUGAAGGUCCUGAGUUCAAGUCUCAGAGAGGGCA